rnacentral:tRNA from 1 species
GGUUCCGUGGCUCAGCUGGUUAGCGCGUCGUACUAAUACCUCAGUAAUGAGUAAUUUGUAAUGCGAAGGUCGAGGGUUCAAUCCCCUCCGGGACCA